UAGGGAAUCUUCGGCAAUGGACGAAAGUCUGACCGAGCAACGCCGCGUGAGUGAAGAAGGUUUUCGGAUCGUAAAACUCUGUUGUUAGAGAAGAACAAGGACGUUAGUAACUGAACGUCCCCUGACGGUAUCUAACCAGAAAGCCACGGCUAACUACGUGCCAGCAGCCGCGGUAAUACGUAGGUGGCAAGCGUUGUCCGGAUUUAUUGGGCGUAAAGCGAGCGCAGGCGGUUUCUUAAGUCUGAUGUGAAAGCCCCCGGCUCAACCGGGGAGGGUCAUUGGAAGCUGGGAGACUUGAGUGCAGAAGAGGAGAGUGAAAUUCCAUGUGUAGCGGUGAAAUGCGUAGAUAUAUGGAGGAACACCAGUGGCGAAGGCGGCUCUCUGGUCUGUAACUGACGCUGAGGCUCGAAAGCGUGGGGAGCAAACAGG
rnacentral:rRNA from 1 species